GACCACAGAAUAUUUCAAAUUACAACGAUGUUGCAGAUUCUCGUCAUACUUCUACUCUCUCCACCGAGGAUUCAAGUUUACUGCCAGGAUGUCAUCCAGGAUCCCGUCAUCAGUUGGAAGCUGAAGACCGAAUCGGCUGAGAUGAAAUGCAGCCACAAAAAAGACAUUUCUCAUACCCAGAUGUACUGGUACCGGCAGCGACCGGGGGAGACCAUGACCCUCGUUGUGUACACGCCGUUCCGUGGGCAGCCAGACUACGGAGAGAACCUGCAGAGCAAAUACUCAGCAGUCAAAGACACCGUAGAGACCGGAGCUCUGACUGUGAAGGACCUGCAGCCUGAUGACAGCGGCGUUUAUUUCUGUGCCGUCAGCAAACACAGUGAUGUGAGGAAACACAACAGCUGAACAAAAACCGACUGACAAUAAAACAGAGUAAAUCAGAAACCCACCUCUGCACUCGUAAAAGUCUCCACUAGGGGGAGCCGGGAAUCAAAAAAUGAUUUGUGAUUCAACGUCUCUAAAGUUUGAUCACAGUUUCCCGGGAACCGCAGGAGCGUCGACCCCAGCUGGAGUUUGAAUUGAGCUUCAAGUAGAAACAGAAACCAGUGGUGAAAAAGGCUGGGAUGAUUUCUCCAGUUAUCCAGUAGGUUUUACAAAAUAUAUAACAUGAUCUGAUUGCUUUUACUUCAAACAGAAAAGCAACUGUUCGUCCUGCUGCUGCUCAGAUGAUGAUUAUUAAGAUGCACAAUAGCUUAUGGUUUUGCAAUUUAUAGCCUUUUAGCAGCUGGUUAAUCUGCUAGGCUAGCUAGCCUGCUGCUUUACUGUGGUUGAUGCACGUACAGGUGUUGACCAGUCAGUCUUACUCAGUGCUGCACAUUUAGCAGAUUUUCUUUAUUGGUGAUUGUGGCGCCCCCUAGUGGAAGACCACCCAGGGCAGGGAUCCAUGUUACC